rfam:Oryza sativa (indica cultivar-group) chromosome 3, whole genome shotgun sequence.
ACAAAAGGCAAACCCUAGUUUCCGUGUCUAACUUUUACUAUCCGUCUUAUAUAAAUUUUUUUUUAUAAUUUGUAUUUUUAUUAUUGUUAGAUGAUAAAACAUGAUUAAUAUUUUAUGCGUGACUUGUCUUUUUAAUUUUUUUCAUAAUUUUUUCAAAUAAGACGGAUGGUCAAACGUUGGACACGGAAACCAUGGUUUAUCUUUUU